UACAGAGGGUGCGAGCGUUGUUCGGAAUUAUUGGGCGUAAAGCGCUUGUAGGCGGCACGUCAAGUCGCGUGUGAAAUCCCCAGGUUUAACCUGGGAAGUGCGCGCGAAACUGACGAGCUUGAGUGCCGGAGAGGGUCGCGGAAUUCCCGGUGUAGAGGUGAAAUUCGUAGAUAUCGGGAGGAACACCAGUGGCGAAGGCGGCGACCUGGACGGACACUGACGCUGAGACGCGAAAGCGUGGGGAGCAAACAGG
rnacentral:rRNA from 1 species